GGAGCCGGAGCGAAAGCGAGUCCGAAUAGGGCGUUUAGUCGGCGGGGGUAGACCCGAAACCAGGUGAGCUACCCAUGGCCAGGGUGAAGCCCCGGUAACACGGGGUGGAGGCCCGAACCGGUGGACGUUGAAAAGUCCUCGGAUGAGCUGUGGGUAGGAGUGAAAAGCUAAUCGAACCUGGAGAUAGCUGGUUCUCCCCGAAAUAGCUCUAGGGCUAGCCUCGGGAAUGAGUGUCGCGGAGGUAGAGCACUGGAUGGGCUAGGGGGUAACUCCGAACCCAACCAAACUCCGAAUGCCGCGACAUGCUUCCCGGGAGUCAGGCCGUGGGGGAUAAGCUCCAUGGCCGAGAGGGGAACAACCCAGACCACCGGCUAAGGCCCCGGAGUGGAGGCUUAGUGGUAAAGGAGGUGGGGCCGCUUAGACAACCGGGAUGUUGGCUUAGAAGCAGCCAUCAUUUAAAGAGUGCGUAAUAGCUCACCGGUCGAGUGGCCCUGCGCCUAAAAUGUAGCGGGGCUAAGCCUCCCGCCGAAGCCGUGGGUUGUCCUGUCCUCCGGGACAGGGCAGCGGUAGGGGAGCGUUCCCAGCGGGCUGAAGGUAUCCCGCGAGGGGUACUGGACUGCUGGGAAGUGAGAAUCCAGGCAUCAGUAACGAUAAGGAGGGUGAGAAUCCCUCCCGCCGAAAGCCUAAGGUUUCCACCGGAAGGUUCGUCCGCGGUGGGUUAGCCGGCCCCUAACCCGAGGCCGAAAGGCGUAGGGGAUGGGAAUCCCGUUAAUAUUCGGGAGCCACCCUGAUGGAGCCCAGGGGGUGACGCAGGGGGGAAGGGCCAGCGCCCUGAUGGAAUAGGGCGUCUAAGCCUGUAGGGGGCUCCUCCAGGCAAAUCCGGAGGAGUGGACUUUGAGAGUCCAACCCUGAGAGGUGAUGGGGACCCCCGUAACUGGGGGGAACUGGCCCGGACCGCACUGCCAAGAAAUAACCUCGUGGGUGAUGAAGUCAGGGUGACCGUACCGCAAACCGACACAGGUAGGCGGGCCGAGCAUGCUCAGGCGCGCGAGUUAACCCCCGCUAAGGAACUCGGCAACUUGACCCCGUAACUUCGGGAGAAGGGGUGCCCCGAGUACGUGAAAGGCUUCGCGCCUAGUAGCGGAAAGGGGUCGCAGCGGAGAGGGCCUGGCGACUGUUUACCAAAAACACAGGAGUCCGCAAACUCGUCAAGAGGAUGUAUGGGCUCUGACACCUGCCCGGUGCCGGAAGGUUAAGGGGAGGGGUGCAAGCCCCGAACCGAAGCCCCGGUAAACGGCGGCCGUAACUAUAACGGUCCUAAGGUAGCGAAAUUCCUUGUCGGGUAAGUUCCGACCUGCACGAAUGGUGUAACGACUGGGCCGGUGUCUCAGCGGGGGGCUCGGUGAAGUUGUAGUGGUGGUGAAGAUGCCACCUACCCGUGGCAGGACCGAAAGACCCCGUGGAGCUUUACUGCAGCCUGGCGUUGGGUCUUGGCACAUCGUGUGUAGAAUAGGUGGGAGCCUGUGAAGCCGCCUCGCCAGGGGCGGUGGAGGCGCCAGUGAAAUACCACCCUCGGUGUGUCGAGAUUCUAACCUACCACCCUGGAUCGGGUGGGGGGACAGCGCUUGGUGGGCAGUUUCACUGGGGCGGUGGCCUCCUGAAAGGUAACGGAGGCGCCCAAAGGUCCCCUCAGCACGGACGGCAACCGUGCGUGGAGUGUAAGGGCAGAAGGGGGCCUGACUGUGAGGCCGACAGGCCGAGCAGGGGCGAAAGCCGGGCCUAGUGAUCCGGCGGUUCCGUGUGGAAGGGCCGUCGCUCAGCGGAUAAAAGCUACCCCGGGGAUAACAGGCUAGUCGGGCCCGAGAGUUCACAUCGACGGCCCGGUUCGGCACCUCGAUGUCGGCUCACCCCAUCCUGGGGCUGGACAAGGUCCCAAGGGUUGGUCUGUUCGCCCAUUAAAGGGGUACGUGAGCUGGGUUCAGACCGUCGUGAGACAGGUCGGUCCCUAUCCGCCACGGGCGUAGGGCACUUGAGGGGGGCUGCCCCUAGUACGAGAGGACCGGGGUGGGGAGACCUCUGGUGUACCAGUCGUCCCGCCAGGGGCGCAGCUGGGUAGCCACGUCUCCAGGCGAUAACCGCUGAAAGCAUCUAAGCGGGAAGCGCGCCCCAAGACAAGGUGCCCCGCCGCUCGCCAGUCUGGCUUCGGCUGGACGAAGCGAGUGGCUAAGGUCCCCGGAAGACUACCGGGUUGAUAGGCGGCAGGUGUAAGUCCCGCAAGGGAUUGAGCCGAGCCGUACUAAUAGACCGAGCGGCUUAACCAU
rnacentral:rRNA from 1 species